UACGAGAGGCCCAAACGUUAUUCGGAUUUACUGGGCUUAAAGAGUUCGUAGGCGGUCUGGUAAGUGGGGUGUGAAAGCCCUCGGCUCAACCGAGGAAUUGCGCUCCAAACUGCCAGGCUCGAGGGAGAUAGAGGUGAGCGGAACUGAUGGUGGAGCGGUGAAAUGCGUUGAUAUCAUCAGGAACACCAGAGGCGAAGGCGGCUCACUGGGUCUCUUCUGACGCUGAGGAACGAAAGCUAGGGGAGCAAACGGG
rnacentral:rRNA from 1 species